rnacentral:rRNA from 1 species
AUGCACGCUAGCGGGAGGCCUAACACAUGCCAGCCGAGCGGUAUUUGUUCUUCGGAACAGAGAGAGCGGCGCACGGGUGCGGAACACGUGUGCAACCUGCCUUUAUCUGGGGGAUAGCCUUUCGAAAGGAAGAUUAAUACCCCAUAAUAUAUUGAGUGGCAUCACUUGAUAUUGAAAACUCCGGUGGAUAGAGAUGGGCACGCGCAAGAUUAGAUAGUUGGUGAGGUAACGGCUCACCAAGUCAAUGAUCUUUAGGGGGCCUGAGAGGGUGAUCCCCCACACUGGUACUGAGACACGGACCAGACUCCUACGGGCGGCAGCAGUGAGGAAUAUUGGACAAUGGGUUAGCGCCUGAUCCAGCCAUCCCGAGUGAAGGACGACGGCCCUAUGGGUUGUAAACUUCUUGUGUAUAGGGAUAAACCUACUCUCGUGAGAGUAGCUGAAGGUACUAUACGAAUAAGCACCGGCUAACUCCGUG